AUUGAACGCUGGCGGCAGGCCUAACACAUGCAAGUCGAGCGGAUGAAGGGAGCUUGCUCCUGGAUUCAGCGGCGGACGGGUGAGUAACGCCUAGGAAUCUGCCUGGUAGUGGGGGAUAACGUCCGGAAACGGGCGCUAAUACCGCAUACGUCCUGAGGGAGAAAGUGGGGGAUCUUCGGACCUCACGCUAUCAGAUGAGCCUAGGUCGGAUUAGCUAGUUGGUGGGGUAAAGGCCUACCAAGGCGACGAUCCGUAACUGGUCUGAGAGGAUGAUCAGUCACACUGGAACUGAGACACGGUCCAGACUCCUACGGGAGGCAGCAGUGGGGAAUAUUGGACAAUGGGCGAAAGCCUGAUCCAGCCAUGCCGCGUGUGUGAAGAAGGUCUUCGGAUUGUAAAGCACUUUAAGUUGGGAGGAAGGGCAGUAAGUUAAUACCUUGCUGUUUUGACGUUACCAACAGAAUAAGCACCGGCUAACUUCG
rnacentral:rRNA from 1 species